AAAGAAAAGAGAGUCUAGGACCUAC
rnacentral:piRNA from 1 species